CCACCCGAACUUCCCGUAAAAGAAAAAAAUCCCUCGGCGGCCACCUUACCCACUCCCCCCGCGUCCUCCCACGAUCCUUCCCGGCCAACCUCCCGCCGCCGCCUCCCUGGCUCCGGCGCGCCUCCCGCCGCUAGCCCCAGCGUGCUUCCCACCGCUGCUUCCCUCGGCCCCGGUGCUCCCCCGCUGCCGCCUACCCUGGCCGCGACGCGCCUCCGCCACUGCUCCGCCCAGCCUCCAUCCGCCGCCCCCUGACGCGCCUCCCGCCGCCGCCCUUCCGGCCCCGACGCGCCUCCAUCCGCCGCCCCCUGACGCGCCUCCCGCCGCCGCCCUUCCGGCCCCGACGCGCCUCCUGUUGCCUCCGCCACCUGCUUCAACAACGGCGCCGGCCACCUCCACCUUCUUCCACCUGCAGCCACCGGCCUCCUACCACAUUAAGCGACCGCCGCGACCAUCCUCCACCUGCUGCUGUAGCCUUCCUAUCCGACCGCCUCCACGACACGCUGGCCUUCGUCUACCUCUGGCUCCGCUGCUGCCCAAGGCCGUGUGCGCGAUGACGGCCCAUGUCGUUUAUCGUCCUGGUUUCGUACACGCUGACGAGUGAUGCCCCGAUCCAGCUCCUCCAUCCUCCAGCCACGGCAAGUCCAAAAGAAAUACAUUCAGUCUAGCAAGCCAAAUGGUUGACUACCAGCCCAUGCGUGGAUUGGCCCCGACCUGCAGCUGGAGGAGGCCGCGACCUUCGGCUGUAGGAGACGUCGACCUACAGCUGGAGGAGGCACCGACCUUCAGCUGACAAUUUUGAGAAACUAGCUACUUAGAAAAUCUAACUUGACACCGUACUUGUUUUUGUUCUUCAGAAGUUCAGGCAACUAGGUUGCUCACUAGGAAAAGCCUGAACCACCAUGAACAAAAGCAAUUUCGUGGCUGAGGCCCAGCAAAUGCAAAGCUUCGUCAUCUUCAUAGUAGAGAGCUUUCCUUACUUGCUUGCUUGCUUCAUGCCUACAACAUGCAUGCACUUUCUGUGUAACCAAAGAAGUCAGAGACCUCGGGGGAGGCAUGUGGACUGUAAGGCAAAACAGGCACAUGGACUCAAGGACUUGUACAUCGGUGAAAUAUGAAGCAUUUUUCGGGCUUCAAGUUUGAGAAGAAGAUGGCAUCAACGAGGAAUGGAGCCGAGGGAGGUCCAUAGUUGCGAACAUCGCCGUCUCAACGCUUUUUGGAGCGCCUCUUGAGGAAUCUGAUAAGAAACGUGGAGUCUGCUCCUGUCACUACUACGUACUCCCUCCGUCCGAAAAUACUUGUCAUCAAAAUUGAUAAAGAGAGAUGUAUCGAUAACUAAAAUACGUCUAGAUACAUCCUUUUUUAUUCAUUUUGAUGACAAGUAUUUCCGGACGGAGGGAGUACAAGGAGGAAAUCCAUGUGUUAGGUGUUUAAAAUGCUAGCAUAAAUGUGUGGUUGAUUGAUUGGCAGCCAUGUCAGAGCCAUAAGUGAGAAUACAAAUGCAAUAGCAAAGCUCCAUGAUUAGCAAUUCUCAGUCAUCGAUCCUUCUUUUUUUGUAGAUGAACAUUUGUAGUGAAGUAAUCAAUCAAAUUGUUCAACAAUAUUUCCUCAGUAUAUUCCUUUUUGAGCCUCUAUGUACAGACCAUUCACUGUAUCUCUCUUUAAGGAAAACCAACACCUUUGUGCCACAUACCUGUGCAGUUGACGAUUUGGCCGGCAGCAGCAACAUUUCUUGGCAUGUGGGUGCUGGUUUUGGCGGGCAAGCAAGCAGCAACGAGCAGCUGCAGGCAAAAGCUACUAGCAGGAUGUUAGAUUUAGUCGACAGUUGAUGGUGUCAUGUCAUUCCUACUAUUGAAUGCACUCUAAAUUUGUAUGGUCAAUGCUAUGGAUUAUUGAAGCGGAUGGACAGGUUUGUAGAAUACUCAACCAGAUGUGUUAGUCUUCACACAACAACAGAGGUCGUUUUCAAACAGUAGCAACAAUGUGUUGAUUGGCUCCUCUGACUCCCUUCGUGAUGCCACUCACCUCGCGUCGGUGGACCAACGCGGUCGCUGGCAGAAUCCUUUUGUUCAGUAUCCAGCGCAAGCAAUCUGAAUCCCACGCGCAAGCCUUCUGUUGCUGAGUCAGCCCUCCUUCUGCUGACUGCUUCUGCAGUAGCAAGUCGCGCCACCUGCACCUGUUAUCACCACAAGACGUUCUACUACACCUAUAUGUUCUACUACGACUAAACGCCGGCGGUGGUGAAGUUCUACUACGGCUAUAUGCUAAGUUCUACUACAGUUGUAUGUCAGCGACCAUGAAAAUUCUACUACAAAUGUACGCCAAGUUGUACUACAGUUAUACUCCUGUGUGGUUACAUGACAUGUGUGUGCGUGUGUGUGCGCUUGUAGGAUUGUUGGACGUGUGUUGGCCUAAGCAAUAGGCUUGCUCUCAACACCAUAUCCU